rnacentral:rRNA from 1 species
UACGUAGGGGGCUAGCGUUGUCCGGAAUCAUUGGGCGUAAAGCGCGCGUAGGCGGCCCGGUAAGUCCGCUGUAAAAGUCAAAGGCUCAACCUUUGAAUGUCAGUGGAUACUGCCGGGCUAGAGUCCGGAAGAGGCGAGUGGAAUUCCCGGUGUAGCGGUGAAAUGCGCAGAUAUCGGGAGGAACACCUAUGGCGAAGGCAGCUCGCUGGGACGUUACUGACGCUGAGACGCGAAAGCGUGGGGAGCAAACAGG